GUAGUUGUGGCCGAGUGGUUAAGGUGAUGGACUAGAAAUCAAUUGGGGUCUUCCCACGCAGGUUUGAAUCCUGCUAACUAUG